AUAUAGAUCAGCUAAUUAAAUAAACUAGAGGAUUUAGGGUUAAUAGAUUAUCUAUUUUAUUUUUUUAAUAUUUUUUUAUAUAAAUUUUUAUAUAAAAUUCCCUUAAAAAAUAUAUUUGCUUAAUCAGUUUAAUUAUAAAAAAAGAUUAAGGUAGAUUAUGUUGAUUAAAAAAGCUUGUGAUAUUUUUUUGUAGAAAUCUGUUUAAAUAAAAUUAUUCUCUAAAAAUAUUUUAAUUUUAUUUCUAUAAU
rnacentral:tRNA from 1 species